rnacentral:lncRNA from 1 species
AGGAGAAGCAGAAGAAAGAUAAGGAUCUACUAAUGGAUUUCUUGGUCAUUUUCAAUAGUUCAGCAUCAGUUCCCAAUGCCCAUUUAAUAAUAAUAAUAAUAAUAAUAAUAAUAAUAAUAAUAAUAAUAAUAAUAAUAAUAAUAAACACUUCGAAAGUGUUUGACUUGUGAUUUUGUAAUAUGAAAUCCAUCAUAUAUAUCUCGUUUGCUGUGUCAUACUAUGUCUUUGUGUCAAUAAUAAUAAUAAUAAUAAGCCAUCAGAACAAAUGCAAUUAAGGCCAAGAUCAAAAAAUCAGCUGAUGACCCAAAAUGCAGACUGUGCUAGGAAGCUGAUGAAACCAUUGAUCAUAUCCUCAGCUGCUGUAAGAAAAUCGCACAGACAGACUACAAACAGAGGCACACUAUGUGGCCCAAAUGAUUCAUUGGAACUUAUGCCUCAAGUACCACCUCUCAGCAGUAAAGAACUGGUGGGAUCACAAACCUGCAAAAGUAUUGGAAAAUGAGCACGCAAAGAUACUGUGGGACUUCCGAAUCCAGACUGACAAAGUUCUGGAACACAACACACCAGACAUCACAGUUGUGGAAAAGAAAAAGGUUUGGAUCAUUGAUGUUGCCAUCCCAGGUGACAGUCACAUUGACGAAAAACAACAGGAAAAACUUAGCCGCUAUCAGGACCUCAAGAUUGAACUGCAAAGACUCUGGCAGAAACCAGUGCAGGUGGUCCCGGUGGUGAUGGGCACACUGGGUGCUGUGCCAAAAGAUCUCAGCCGGCAUUUGGAAACAAUAGACAUUGACAAAAUUACGAUCUGUCAACUGCAAAAGGCCACCCUACUGGUUUCUGCCAGAGUCUUUGAAGUUCAAUCUUGAGGUCCUGAUAGCGGCUGAGUUUUUCCUGUUGUUUUUCAUCAAUGCGACUGUCACCUGGGAUGGCGACAUCAAUGAUCCAAACCUUUUUCUUUUCCACAACUGUGAUGUCUGGUGUGUUGUGUUCCAGAACUUUGUCAGUCUGGAUUCGGAAGUCCCACAGUAUCUUUGCGUGCUCAUUUUCCAAUACUUUUGCAGGUUUGUGAUUAUUAUUAUUAUUAUUAUUAAUUAUUGUUAUUAUUGCUCAGUGGCCAACUAUAGUCCAGCCCGCCAACAGUCCAAAGGAUCGUGAACUGGCCCUCUGUUUAAAAAGUUUGGGGACCCCUGUUCUAAACCUUCAUUCAGGUCACUAAUAAAGACUUUAAACCAGGGGUCCCCAAACUUUUUAAACAGGGGGACAGUU